rnacentral:rRNA from 1 species
UACAGAGGGUGCAAGCGUUUGUUCGGAAUUAUUGGGCGUAAAGCGCGUGUAGGCGGCUUUGCAAGUCGGGUGUGAAAGCCCUCAGCUCAACUGAGGAAGUGCGCCCGAAACUGCAGAGCUUGAGUGCCGGAGAGGGUGGCGGAAUUCCCCAAGUAGAGGUGAAAUUCGUAGAUAUGGGGAGGAACACCGGUGGCGAAGGCGGCCACCUGGACGGUAACUGACGCUGGAGAACGCGAAAGCGUGGGGAGCAA